AUGGCUGACUCCGGCCAAUGCGGGCUUUGUGCUAACCGGGAUUCAUGGCGUCACUCCUUGCUAGAGUGCUCAUCAUCAAGGAGUGUCUGGGCGCUGAUUGAUGAGGACAUUACACAUAAAAUAAUAGGGAGCACGGAGCCAAGCGCGAGGCAGUGGUUGUUCACACUCAUACAAUUGUUAUCACAUGAUCAGUUCAUCCUCGUAGCAGUUACAUUGUGGUCUAUCUGGCAUGCCCGCCGCAAAGCUAUUCAUGAAUCCAUUUUUCAGAGUCCACAAUCUACCUUCGGCUUUAUUGGACGGUUCAUUGCAGAACUAGAUACCAUAAAGACAAAGGAACCAAUGCGGGCGGCUGCUGCUCCAGUUCAGAGUCGGCCGAAGAAACCUCCUGCGGGAUAUUGCAAGAUUCAUGUGGAUGCGGGGGUUAUGAGAACAAGAGGAGGAUCUACGGCAGCUGUUUGCAGAGAUGUGGAGGGAAACUGCAUGGGCAGCUCGGCUCUAGUGGUCGACGGAGUGGAAGACCCGGCAACACUUGAAGCUAUCGCUUGCCGGGAGGCGUUAUCUCUUGCAGAAGAUAUGGGUAUUUAGAACUUUGUUAUUGCAUCAGACUGUCAACAAGUCGUCUUAGAUAUCAACAGGAAGUCACAUGGGACGUAUGGAGCGAUUAUCGCGGAAAUAAACCUUAGAGCCUCUUUCUUUCAAUGUAUUUUUUCAUUUGAGAGUCGGGCUGCAAAUUAUGAAGCGCAUAGUUUAGCCAAGUUCUCCCUCUCGAGAGGUCCGGGGCACCACGUCUGGUUUGGCGCUCCCCAUGACCAGAGAUGUAUCCCAUGUGGACUUUAG
rnacentral:rRNA from 1 species